rnacentral:rRNA from 1 species
AACGAACGCUGGCGGCAUGCCUAACACAUGCAAGUCGAACGAGACCUUCGGGUCUAGUGGCGCACGGGUGCGUAACGCGUGGGAACCUGCCCUUAGGUUCGGAAUAACUCCCCGAAAGGGGUGCUAAUACCGGAUAAUGUCUUCGGACCAAAGAUUUAUCGCCUUUGGAUGGGCCCGCGUUGGAUUAGCUAGUUGGUAGGGUAAAAGCCUACCAAGGCGACGAUCCAUAGCUGGUCUGAGAGGAUGAUCAGCCACACUGGGACUGAGACACGGCCCAGACUCCUUCCGGAGGCAGGAGUGGGGAAUAUUGGACAAUGGGCGAAAGCCUGAUCCAGCAAUGCCGCGUGAGUGACGAAGGCCUUAGGGUUGUAAAGCUCUUUUACCCGGGAUGAUAAUGACAGUACCGGGAGAAUAAGCUCCGGCUAACUCCGUG